CAAAUUCGUCUCUAGGGGAAUA
rnacentral:miRNA from 1 species